UUUCCGUAGGUGAACCUGCGGAAGGAUCAUUCAUAAUAAAGUGUUUUAUGGCACUUUUUAAAAAUCCAUAUCCACCUUGUGUGCAAUGUUAGAUCUCGUCAAUCUUGGCGAGAUUUUUAUACAUCAACUCAUUCUUUAACUGAUUUGUCUGGAAAAUAUUAUGAAUACUUAAUUCAAAAUACAACUUUCAACAACGGAUCUCUUGGCUCUC
rnacentral:misc_RNA from 1 species